rnacentral:rRNA from 1 species
CACCCUACGGGAGGCAGCAGUGAGGAAUAUUGGUCAAUGGUCGGGAGACUGAACCAGCCAAGCCGCGUGAGGGAGGAAGGUACAGAGUAUCGUAAACCUCUUUUGUCAGGGGACAAAGACUGGGACGCGUCCCCGGAUGAGUGUACCUGAAGAAAAAGCAUCGGCUAACUCCGUGCCAGCAGCCGCGGUAAUACGGAGGAUGCGAGCGUUAUCCGGAUUUAUUGGGUUUAAAGGGUGCGUAGGCGGACAGUCAAGUCAGCGGUAAAAAUGCGGUGCUCAACGCCGUACAGCCGUUGAAACUGGCA